rnacentral:rRNA from 1 species
UACGUAGGGUGCGAGCGUUGUCCGGAAUUAUUGGGCGUAAAGAGCUCGUAGGCGGUGUGUCGCGUCGGCCGUGAAAACCUGGGGCUCAACUCUGGGCGUGCGGUCGAUACGGGCAUCACUGGAGUUCGGCAGGGGAGACUGGAAUUCCUGGUGUAGCGGUGAAAUGCGCAGAUAUCGGGAGGAACACCGGUGGCGAAGGCGGUUCUCUGGGCCUUACCUGACGCUGAGGAGCGAAAGCGUGGGGAGCGAACAGG